AACGACGGUGAUAAAGACGUAAAUAAAAAUGUAUUGAAGAAGUUAAUUCAGUUUAUAACUAACUUAUUUGUUAAAAAUGUUAAUACUUUAAAUGUAAUUAAACGUGCUGUCCUUUCAAGUAGUUUCUUAGAUGGUUUUUUCAAGAACAUAUUAUAUCAGAAGUCGAGAUUACAAAACGCUUCAAGCAAUUACUGAAAUUCUACGUAAGAUUACACAUUGAAAAAACUUCGAAGAUAGAAGUGUCGCCUGGAGGACCAGACGAGUGCAGCACGGCCGAAUGAUGUACUGCUAAUAUUGAAUACCAGAUGGCGCACAGAUUGCUGAUCGUAUAAUUCUUUUAAUGUUUUAUUUUUCGUUUUGUGAGUUGGCAAUCUGAUGAGUUGGACUCAAGAUGCAGUAAAAGAACGACGACGAUAAAGUCGUAAAUAAAAAUGUAUUGAAGAAGUUAAUUCAGUUUAUAACUAACUUAUUUGUUAAAAAUGUAAUUACUUUAAAUGUAAUUAAACGUGCUGUCCUUUCAA